rnacentral:rRNA from 1 species
CCUACGGGGGGCUGCAGUGGGGAAUAUUGGACAAUGGGGGGAACCCUGAUCCAGCCAUGCCGCGUGUGUGAAGAAGGCCCUCGGGUUGUAAAGCACUUUCAGUGAGGAAGAACGCCUGGUGGUUAAUACCCAUCAGGAAAGACAUCACUCACAGAAGAAGCACCGGCUAACUCCGUGCCAGCAGCCGCGGUAAUACGGAGGGUGCGAGCGUUAAUCGGAAUUACUGGGCGUAAAGCGCGCGUAGGUGGCUUGAUAAGCCGGUUGUGAAAGCCCGGGCUCAACCUGGGAACGGCAUCCGGAACUGUCAAGCUAGAGUGCAGGAGAGGAAGGUAGAAUUCCCGGUGUAGCGGUGAAAUGCGUAGAGAUCGGGAGGAAUACCAGUGGCGAAGGCGGCCUUCUGGACUGACACUGACACUGAGGUGCGAAAGCGUGGGUAGCAAACAGGAUUAGAUACCCCAGUAGUC